GGAAUUGUUCGCAAUGGGCGCAAGCCUGACGACGCAACGCCGCGUGGAGGAUGAAGACCUUCGGGUCGUAAACUCCUUUCGACCGAGAUGAAUACUCACCGACCUAAUACGUUGGUGAGCUGACAGUAUCGAGGGAAGAAGCCCCGGCUAACUCCGUGCCAGCAGCCGCGGUAAUACGGGGGGGGCAAGCGUUGUUCGGAAUUACUGGGCGUAAAGGGUUCGUAGGUGGCCUACUAAGUCAGACGUGAAAUCCCUCAGCUUAACUGGGGAACUGCGUCUGAGACUGGUGGGCUUGAGUGCAGGAGAGGAACGCGGAAUUCCAGGUGUAGCGGUGAAAUGCGUAGAUAUCUGGAGGAACACCGGUGGCGAAGGCGGCGUUCUGGACUGCUACUGACACUGAAGGAACGAAAGCCAGGGGAGCAAACGGGAUUAGAUACCCCGGUAGUCCUGGCCCUAAACGAUGAAUGCUUGGUGUGGCGGGUAUCGAUCCUGCCGUGCCGUAGUUAACGCGUUAAGCUA
rnacentral:rRNA from 1 species